rnacentral:lncRNA from 1 species
GGGUUCUAUUGCUGUGAAGAGACACCAUGACCAAGGCAGUCCUUAUAAAGGACUUAUAAAUUGAAUCCCUUAAUUGAAUUGGGAUUGGUUUACAGUUUCAGAGGUUAAGUCCGUUAUCAUGAUGGGAUGCAUUGGCAGUGUCCAGGAAGACAUGGUGCUGGUGAAGGAGGCAAGAGUUCUACAUCUUGAUUGGCAGGCAGCAGAAAGGGACUGUGUUGUAUGUCAUAACAUGUCUGGUCAUAGCUUGAGCAUCCAAGACCUCAAAGCCUGUCCCUGCAGUGACACACCUCCUCCAACAAGGCCACACUGUCUAAUAAUGCCACUCCCUAAUAGGCCAAACAUCCAAACUCAAGAUUCUAUGGGGGCCAAACCUACUCAAACCACCACAAUCAUUAGUUAAGAAAGUGCCCAAAGCUGGAUCUCCCAAGAGGUGUUUGCUCCUCUCAAAUGACUCUAGCUUGUGUCCAGUUGACAUAAAGCUAUCAGGACAAGUUACUUAAACCUUUUCAUUUGGUCCUCACUAGAGAACUCUGGUGAGCUUGGUUGACCACGUGCCAUGCACAUUACCUUGGUUCAGGAUUUUUUACUGAUAGUCACUGGGGAUGAACAGCACGAGGAGACAACAUCAGAGAGAGCUCUGCUCUUAGGCUGCACCUCAGCCUUUCUGCCCACUUCGUUCUUGUUCUUCAGGUUUCCAUGCCUCCCCAGGCUUGAUGGAAGCGUGGCUACCUACCCUGCUGCUCCUUCGUGACUAUGAGAUUCCAACACUGAUUACUGUUUACAGGUGUUUACCUAUUUCUGUUUGUGGUCCUUUUCAGACUCACUUUCCCCUAAAUACAGAUAAACUCAUUUUGAUUCCCCUUGCCUGUCUGUCUUGGGAAGAUGUUCUUCCUUCCUGCAUGUGGCUGUUAAAAAAAAAAAAAAUUCUGGGAACAGUCCUUUGCUAAUCAGGGAUUUGGUGAGACAUUUGGGAGGAAAAAAUAGUCCUUGCUUAGUACAGCUUUAGAUAAUUUUUAGGGUUGAUCAUGAACUGCCUUGCACUUGGGCAAUUUCUGUUCUCUCACACUAAGUAGAGGACUCUUCCUUCUCUCUUCUCCAGCCAGCAGGAAUUGGAAGCCUCUUUGCAAGUCCUGGUGAACUUGGAUACACACAUCAUUGCUUGUGGCGCUAAUCCUUUCGCAUCCCUCAAACCAGAACAGGUCUAUUCCAAGCCCAACAAGCAACCGGUGUACAGCAGUGCCUACUACAUCGUGUUUCGUGGAUGUUCCUCCUGCCAACUAGAUAAGCAGCAAGUAGAAGAAGAACCAGAUGAAUUUUCAGUAGUUGAAUCAAAUCCUAACUGAAUGCCUGGAAAUUGGAAGCUUCAGCAAAUUACCCAGUAGAUGUCAGAUUUUUGCCAGCUGUUGUAUGUGAACCUUAUUCACAGUUGAAGUAAAGAUUCUAAACCAGUGGAAGUU